rnacentral:tRNA from 1 species
GGGGCCGUAGCUCAGCGGUCAGAGCCUCCGGCUCAUAACCGGCAGGUCCCAGGUUCGAAUCCUGGCGGCCCCACCA